GUGGACAUUCGGUCCUGAGUAGAGCGGCGGACGGGUGAGUAACACGUGGGUAAUCUACCCUCGGGUGGGGAAUAACUCAGGGAAACCUGGGCUAAUUCCGCAUGAUAUUCCGGUGCAUACGUACUGGUAAUCAAAGUUGGGGACCCUUCGGGGCCUGACGCCUGGGGAGGAGCCCGCGGCCAAUUAGCUUGAUGGCGAGGUAAAGGCUCACCAUGGCUUCGAUUGGUAGCCGGCCUGAGAGGGCGGACGGUCACACUGGGACUGAGACACGGCCCAGACUCCUACGGGAGGCAGCAGUGGGGAAUUUUUGUCAAUGGGGGAAACCCUGAACAAGCAACGCCGCGUGAAGGACGAAGACCUUCGGGUUGUAAACUUCUGUCGGAGGGGACGAAGGCAUCAUUGGUUAAUACCCAGUGGUGUUGACGGUACCCUACGAGGAAGCCCCGGCUAACUCCGUGCCAGCAGCCGCGGUAACACGGGGGGGGCAAGCGUUGUUCGGAAUUACUGGGCGUAAAGGGCGCGCAGGCGGGCGAGACAGUCUUUCGUGAAAUCCCACGGCUCAACCGUGGAACUGCGGGAGAUACUUCUCGUCUUGAGUCCGGGAGAGGAGUGUGGAAUUCCCAGUGUAGCGGUGAAAUGCGUAGAUAUUG
rnacentral:rRNA from 1 species